GGAUGUGGGGGUGAUCUGGCUGCGACAUCUGUCACCCCAUUGAUUGCCAGCAUUGAUUUGGCUGAUCUGGCUGGCUAGGCGGGUGUCCCCUCCCUCCCUCACUGCUCCAUGUGUGUCCCUCCUGAAGCUGUGCACUCAGUGGAAGAGGAUGACGUCCCAGGUAUAGAAGGAGUGUACUGAGGUAUAAGAGAGCUGUGCUCCCCUGCUAGAACCUCCAAACAAAGCAUUUAGGGCAUGAAGAUUCUGGAAGAUUGACUGGCCAAAGGUUUAAGCUAGGAGAACCACUCUUCUAUUUGCU
rnacentral:snRNA from 1 species